UGCGCAGGCGGUUUUGUAAGACAGGCGUGAAAUCCCCGGGCUCAACCUGGGAACUGCGUUUGUGACUGCAAGGCUAGAGUACGGCAGAGGGGGGUGGAAUUCCACGUGUAGCAGUGAAAUGCGUAGAGAUGUGGAGGAACACCAAUGGCGAAGGCAGCCCCCUGGGUCGAUACUGACGCUCAUGCACGAAAGCGUGGUAGCAAACA
rnacentral:rRNA from 1 species